CCUGACACUCAUAUACAUACACAGACACGCAGGUACACAUACAAACUGACACACAAGUACACGGACACAGGUAUACAUCCACAUAGAUACACAUAAACACUGACACAAAGGUACACAUACACUGACACAAACACAGCCAGAUACACACACACUGACACUCACACAGCCAGAUACACACAUACAGCCAGAUACAAACGCACACACAUACAGAUACACACGCAUAAAGUCAGAUACACACGCAUAGUCAGAUACACACACACACAGUCAGAUACACAUAUACAGUCAGAUACACACACA